rnacentral:lncRNA from 1 species
CCUAUAUCUAGUUUUGUUUAAUAAAUCCACCGUCCAAGAUUACACGCCAUCGAUCGACCAUUCCCCACCCAUCCCCUUCUCUUUUCAAAUCAUAAGCUCACCACCGCUAAAUUCUCUUUUCCCCCUCUCCAUUCAUCAACCCUUUCCCCCUUUCCCCAUCUUUUGUUUCUCUCUCGCUGCUGAUGGCACCUUACCUUUCCUCUUCACUGCCAAUC